rnacentral:lncRNA from 1 species
AAAAAAAGAAGUGAAUGAAAAAGGAGGACUCAAGGCGAAAACCCUAAAAGGGCGGUUUGAGUCAUAGGGGGUUUGUCUAAGUUGAAAACCUAAAAAGGCAGCUUAGAUAAGGAGAAUACAACAUCGAAUUUUAAAGUUCGCUGAUAUGGAGGCUAGCAAAUUCGGAAGAGUUCCAAGUUGUUAAAUACAUCAGAGGAUUGGGUUUUCAGAAAAAAACUUUGAGAUGUGUUAUCGUGAUUAUCUGAUUGUUCAUUUUGGGCUUUGUCCCCAUGCCUAUCCUUGUAAUUCUCCCUUGGCUGAAAUUAGUCAACAUUUUGCUAAUAAGAGACAUUCUAUUUCAUUCUUUAUGUCUUUUUAUAUGACUGUUUCUCAACCAUUCAGAUCCUUUUCUUCUUAAUACCCCACCAUGGAAGAAAUGUGCAAAUGCAUUCUUACUUUUUGAGUUUAAAAUAAUGAUUGAUAAAUGAAAAACAACAUGAAAGAUUUUUUACAUUACAUUGAAUAAGUCAAGAGUGAUAA